rnacentral:rRNA from 1 species
GCUCCAAUAGCGUAUAUUUAAGUUGUUGCAGUUAAAAAUCUCGUAGUUGGAUCUUGGUUCGUAAAGGUCGGUCCGCCUACUCGGUGUGCACCUGCCCUUCCGUCCCUUUUGUCGGCGGCGUGCUCCUGGCCUUAAUUGGCUGGGUCGCGGCUCCGGCGCUGUUACCUUGAAAAAAUUAGAGUGCUCAAAGCAAGCUUAUGCUCUGAAUACAUUAGCAUGGAAUAACGUGAUAGGAGUCUGGUCCUAUUGUGUUGGCCUUCGGGACCGGAGUAAUGAUUAAUAGGGACUAUCGGGGGCAUUCGUAUUUCAUUGUCAGAGGUGAAAUUCUUGGAUUUAUGAAAGACGAACCACUGCGAAAGCAUUUGCCAAGGAUGUUUUCAUUAAUCAAGAACGAAAGUUGGGGGCUCGAAGACGAUCAGAUACCGUCCUAGUCUCAACCAUAAACGAUGCCGACCAGGGAUCGGCGGAUGUUGCUCUAAGGACUCCGCCAGCACCUUCUGAGAAAUCAGAGUGAUUGGGUUCCGGGGGGAGUAUGGUCGCAAGGCUGAAACUUAAAGGAAUUGACGGAAGGGCACCACCAGGAGUGGAGCCUGCGGCUUAAUUUGACUCAACACGGGGAAAAUUACCAGGUCCAGACAUAGUAAGGAUUGACAGAUUGAGAGCUCUUUCUUGAUUCUAUGGGUGGUGGUGCAUGGCCGUUCUUAGUUGGUGGAGCGAUUUGUUUGGUUAAUUCCGAUAACGAACGAGACCUCAGCCUGCUAACUAGCUACGCGGAGGUUCCCCUUCGCGGCCAGCUUCUUAGAGGGACUAUGGCCGUUUAGGCCAUGGAAGUUUGAGGCAAUAACAGGUCUGUGAUGCCCUUAGAUGUUCUGGGCCACACGCGCGCUACACUGAUGCAGCCAACGAGCUUUUCUUCCUGGUUCGAGAGGAUCGGGAAAUCUUUUCAAAUUGCAUCGUGAUGGGGAUAGACCAUUGCAAUUAUUGGCCUUCAACGAGGAAUUCCUAGUAAGCGCGUGUCAUCAACUCGUGUUGACUACGUCCCUGCCCUUUGUACACACCGCCCGUCGCUCCUACCGAUUGAAUGAUCCGGUGAAGUGUUCGGAUUGCGUCAACGAUGGUGGUUCGCCGCCGUCGACGUCGUGAGAAGUUCAUUGAACCUUAUCAUUUAGAGGAAGGAGAAGUCGUAACAAGGUUACCGUAGGUGAACCUGCGGUAG